AUGGGGACCCCCUGGAAGACAACUGGAAACCAGCUUUCUGGGCUCCUGGAGGCAGAGGAGGAAGAUGAGUUCUACCAGAUGAUUUAUGGAGGUUUCACAGAGGAGUCUAGAAAUGAUGAGUAUCAAGAUGAGUCAGAUACAGAGGAUGAGAUGAACUCUGACUCUGACAUUGAUGAAGGAGAUGAACCAUCCAGUGAUAGAAAAACAGAAGAGCCAAGAAGGAAGCACCAGGUAGUCACCAAAGCCUGUAAGGAGCCUCUAAAUAGCUUGUAGCCUCGAAAGGUCAGCACCCCAGCAAGUAGCUUUCAGAAGGCCUGAGAAGAGAAAGCACUGCUGCCACUACAGGAUGACGCUUUGACAGUCGGAAGUCCGUGAGUACCUACAGCUGAGCACACGAGACAGACAGACGUUCCUUCGUGUUCAGGAAAGGCAAGGACAGGCCUGGAGGUCAGGGAGGUCGAAUGUGAGUGCCCACUAACCCAGGAAGAGCUGCUCAGGGAGGCCAAGAUCACAGAAGAGCUCAAUUGACAUUCACCAGAGACAUACAAACUCCUCGUGGCUGACAAAAAGAAGCAGGUUCACAAGAAGGGAAGUGCCCAGAGCCAGUGGAAGCCUGGCUCAAGGAAGAGAAUGUGGACAUAGAAGGACGUGAUCCUGCAGCCACAGCUUCUGCGUUGACUCCGCAUACUGGGAUGGGGUCUGCCAUCCCUCCUGCUUGCUGCUCACAUACCUAUGUCACAUUUAAUGAUAAUGUGACAUUUGAGGAAUGGCUCCCCCAGGGGUGACCCAAAAAGGUUCCUUUUGGGAGGGCUGCCCAGUGACCCAUCAUCCAGCCUGGGGGCAGGACCCUGUACACACACUCCCUCUGCCACUGCUCAAGCCUUCAAGAUCAUUUGUGAGGCCUACCAGAAGUACAUCACUGACCAUGGACUGCCACCCACUGCCUCAGUCCUUGGCCCUGGCCUACCACCUUCUGAGCCCUGACUCUGGACCCCGACCCUUGUGGCAGGCAGAAAAUUGUCAUCAAAUAG